rnacentral:lncRNA from 1 species
GCCCGCUUUAUCCUAUAAAUACUUUCUUCUCCGGUACUCCUUCUCCAUCUUAUCAUUCUAGAGCCCACAAUCCACCUUCCCGGCGGCGGCAUUGCCCAAAAACUCCAAGAAGUUCAGCAAGAACCUCCUUCACCAAUCUUCCAAGUCUUCGACCUUCUUCCUCACGAGAAAAUGGCUACCAACUUCGUCGUCCCUGUGGUCAAUCUACCAUCCUCCUUCUUUUCGUAUUUUUGCUAUACUCUUGAUCAUCCGCGAUUUCUUUUACUAAAUACACCUUUUAUUAUUUUUGUUCUUUUAUCCUCAAAACUUUUAGGAUCUGGCCGAUAAGAUUAUAAUUCCUACCGAUCAACCUCACUUCCAAUGUCUCGGCCC